AUGAGCAAGAGGCUGAGGUGGAGGCAUUAGCUGCCAGAAGCGCAACUUGAAGACCCAAUUCCCCCGAGGCCAGGUCUCCUUGAUGCAGAGGCCCCAUUUGUCCUUCUAUGUGAGCCCCUGAACUGCUGCCACCUCCAAAUGAAGGACACAGACAUGCAGGAGAGGGAUAUGGCUUCCAAGUUCCCUAGCUCCCAGCCUGCCUGCCUCACUGAAGACAGAUGAAGAAGCAGAUGUAGGCUAGGAGGGCAUGCCUUGAGGCUCACAUCAAGUGCUUCUCCUCCAGGGCCCUCAACUCCCCUGGGGCACAUCUGAAACUGAAAAGCAUCUUCCAGCUUCCACUGGACAUUAAGGGACCCAUUUUCCUGGCAAGCCUCCUGAAAGCAUGCAAAGGUGAGAGCAUCUAAAGAACAUGGGGUGGGGCUGGGACAUGUCUCAAAGGUUCAGAGUAUUUGCUGCUCUUCCAG
rnacentral:lncRNA from 1 species